AAUUAAGAAAUAAUAUUUUAUAUUCAAUUUCGGUUUGACAUUUAGAUUUUAAUUAAUCCUUAAUUU
rnacentral:tRNA from 1 species